rnacentral:rRNA from 1 species
UACGUAGGUGGCGAGCGUUGUCCGGAUUUACUGGGCGUAAAGAGCGCGCAGGCGGCUGGUCAAGUCCGAUGUGAAAGCUCCCGGCUUAACUGGGAAAUUGCAUCGGAAACUGAUCGGCUGGAAGGUGGGAGAGGGUAGCGGAAUUCCCGGUGUAGUGGUGAAAUGCGUAGAUAUCGGGAGGAACACCAGUGGCGAAGGCGACUUUCUGGCCUGUUCUUGACGCUGAGGCGCGAAAGCUAGGGGAGCAAACGGG